CCCUUAGAUGUUCUGGGCCGCACGCGCGCUACACUGAUGCAUUCAACGAGUCUAAAACCUGCUCUGAUAGGGGUGGGUAAUCUUUUGAAUGUGCAUCGUGAUUGGGAUAGAUGAUUGCAAUUUUUCAUCUUCAACGAGGAAUGCCUAGUAAACGCAAGUCAACAGCUUGCAAUGAUUACGUCCCUGCCCUUUGUACACACCGCCCGUCGCUACUACUGAUUGGAUGGUUAAGCAAGAACUUCAAAUACUUGCAGUUUUGACUUCGGUUGAGACAGCGAGUUGAAGAAGAUCGAGCUUAUUUGUCUAGAGGAAGUAAAAGUCGUAACA
rnacentral:rRNA from 1 species